rnacentral:tRNA from 1 species
CGGGGGUGCCCGAGCUAGGACAAAGGGGCCGGAUUAAAAAUCCGGUGGCGUAGGCCUGCGUGGGUUCGAAUCCCACCCCCCG